GAUGAACGCUGGCGGCGUGCCUAAUACAUGCAAGUCGAGCGAACAGACGAGGAGCUUGCUCCUCUGACGUUAGCGGCGGACGGGUGAGUAACACGUGGAUAACCUACCUAUAAGACUGGGAUAACUUCGGGAAACCGGAGCUAAUACUGGAUAAUAUAUUGAACCGCAUGGUUCAAUAGUGAAAGACGGUUUUGCUGUCACUUAUAGAUGGAUCCGCGCCGCAUUAGCUAGUUGGUAAGGUAACGGCUUACCAAGGCAACGAUGCGUAGCCGACCUGAGAGGGUGAUCGGCCACACUGGAACUGAGACACGGUCCAGACUCCUACGGGAGGCAGCAGUAGGGAAUCUUCCGCAAUGGGCGAAAGCCUGACGGAGCAACGCCGCGUGAGUGAUGAAGGUCUUCGGAUCGUAAAACUCUGUUAUUAGGGAAGAACAAACGUGUAAGUAACUAUGCACGUCUUGACGGUACCUAAUCAGAAAGCCACGGCUAACUACGUG
rnacentral:rRNA from 1 species